rnacentral:lncRNA from 1 species
UUUGCUUUUAUUUCUCCACGAAGCCUCCUCAAUAAGGGUUCCUCGACCAUCUUCCUUCCGGAGUAGAUCAAUUGUGAUCCGAAACUACUCUCAUCAGGUGCGAUUCUUCUCCCUUUUCUAAAGCUUCUUGUGCAAGUUUAUAGGCACAAACAUUUUCUAAUCUAUGAAUAAAUUGAAAAAUAAUUUCUUGAAAACGAGAUUUUUUUCUUUGAAAAUCCCUAAUAAUCACCCUAAUAACCGAUUUAUCUGGCUUUGCUGUUUGGCAUUUCUUGAUGACUGUUCAUGAAUCCCCCAUGAUUGUUACUGAGAGGAUACCCAUUGAGAUUCCUAACUUAAUGGCCUGUAAACCUGCAUAUGCCUCUGCCGCAAACGGAUAGGAAAUGUCGUUAUGUAGGGUUGUCUUCGAUGCUAGAAUCUCGCCCAUCAGACCUCGAACCACAGACCCGAAGCCGAUUUGGAAUUUUUUUGUCAAAAGCUGCAUCAAACUGAAUCGUCACCCUCGUGCUCCCUUCUCGUUUUCUGUGGCUUCUAUCCUCAUUUGAGGUAGUCUUCCUUUCUCCCAAACCAUAUAAUUCUGCCAUAUACAUAUGUAUUCUCUGUGAUAAUUCCCUUCCCAUCGUGUUCUUUCCCUCAUGUACUAGCUGAUUCCUUGAACUCCAGAUUGACCAUAAAGCACAGCAAAAAAGUCGGCACUGUUUACAAGAACCCCUCUUGAAAACCUAGAUAAGCCACUCCCAAAAGUUUUGAUUCGUAUUAUUUAUGACCCAAUAGAGGUUUAAAUAAAUAAAUGGGGUAAGCUAUAUAGCUUAGUAAGUUGGUAUGUAAAUAAUAAAUAAUUUGUUAACAUGCUUUUACCAAUCUUCACAAUAUGUUCUCAAUAUAAUACAAUUAUAAUUGCACAUAGUUCCAAUAUUUAUUCAUGUUCACGUCAAGUUGUCUACUCGAGUCAUAGUCACUGAAUUAUUUAUGUCUUGUGCUACGAAACUCAAAAUUAAGAUCCGCUUAUUUUUCUAAAACUAGACUCACAUAUCUUGUUAUCAUAAAAUUUUAAAAAAUUUUGGUUUUGCCAAUAAGUACAGUUAAUUCUUCAAAGUCGUCUUUGUUCUGCUGUUUGACAGUUCUGGCCUUUCUUCUCUAAAAAUUAAUUAUCUCUUAGUACGGAAUUCAGAUGAUGUUUCCGUUUAUUUAUCUUGAAAAUAGACUCAUUAAUAAUUCUAAUCAUAUAAAUUCUAACCCAUAAUUAUUUUUAUACAAAUUUUAAUGAUUUUCCAAAGUCAGAAUAGGAGAUUCCGAAAUUAUUCUAACCUUAUCUCACAAAAAUUUAAAUAUCUCAUAAUAUGAGAUUCUUUUGCUUACAUCGUUUCUUCUACGUGAAAUUAGACUCAAUAAGCUUUAAUUUAAUGUAUUAUUCAACCUCUAAUGUGAUUUCCACAAUUUUUUGAGUUUUCAAAGUUAUACAAUUGUUGUUGUUCAAAACUAUUUUAUUGCAAUUUUUAAUCUUUCAUGAUUUCUUUGUAUUAACAUUUAUUUCGACACACAUAACACCAAAGCAUAUCCAUAACUAGCCAUUCCAAUAGCUAAUCAUUAUCAUAUAUUCACAUGCCAUUCAUUGGCCAAUUUCACCUAUACAUCAACAACAAAGACUUAAACAUAUCAUGUCUCAAUUUAAUUUGGCCUAAAAGCCUCACACAUUCAUCAAUCAAAUUUACCACAUAUUUAUACCUCAUAAGUAUAGACCUAUAAUCACAAGGUCAUCACAAGAUCAUUCUCAUAAGUAUGACUUACUUAUUUACAUUCUUGCCAAAAUGUCCAAUAUACAUCGAGUUCAUUACUCAUGAAUUUUUCGUACAUACUUGUAUCCUUUCAACAUGAUCAUACAUUGUCUUUUCUUUGACAUAAUCUUUAAAUUACCCGUUGGACCACUUGGAACACUAAGUAUACUUGGGAAAGCUCAUACAUAAUGUAUCGUACCAAUGUCAUGUCCCAGACAUGGUCUUACAUAAAAAUCUCGUAUCGAUGCCAAUAGCCCAGCUAUGGUCUUACACGAAAUCUCAAAUUGAUGCCAAUAGCCUAGCUAUGGUCUUACACAGAAUCUCAAAUCGAUGCCAAUAGCCUAGCUAUGGUCUUACACGAAAUCACACCUCGGAAGUUCUAAUAUCAUGACAUCAAUAUCCAAUACAUUUACUAAGGUUCAUUCGGAGCUUUCGACUUCGUAAUUAAAUCAAUUCAUGUACGAAACAAGUCAUCCAAUGCUCAAAUCAAUUCGACAAUAUAUAUCCAUAUACGAAUCAAAUUCGGCAAUGUAUAUCUACAUACAAAUUAAUUUGGCAAUGUAUAUCCAUAUACAAAUCAAAUUCGGCAAUGUAUAACCAUAUACAAAUCAAAUUCGGCAAUGUAUAUCUAUAAACAAUUCAAAUUCGGCAAUGUAUAUCUAUAUGCAAAUCAAAUUCGACAAUGUAUAUCUAUAAAAAAUUCAAAUUUGCCAAUGUAUAUCUAUAUACAAAUCAAAUUCGGCAAUGUAUAAAACAUAUAUAUUUAAAUUCAAAAUUAUUUAUUUACUUAUGAACUUACCUCAUAUGGAAACGAAUCGAUCGGAUCAACUACUCGUCAACUUUCGAUUUCUCUUGAUCUAAAUCUAAUUUUUUUUCUUUCUUGAUCUAUAUGAAUUCAAAUUUAACUCAUUUAAUCACAUAUUCAUUCAAUUUCAUCUAAAAAUACCUAUUUGGACAUUUUAGCACUUUAGCCCUUAAAGUUUCACAUUUAUUAAAUUUAAUUCCUAUUUCACAAAUACACAAAAUUCACACAAUUUAAUAUAACCUAAGCUUAGCCGAAUUACUAUAGUGCCCCUAGCAGCCCAAAAAUUUCAUUAUUUCACAUUUUAACCACUCAAUUUGCAUAUUUCAUAAUUUAAUCCCUAUUUGACAUUUUUGUCAAAAAUCACUUUACAAAACAUAUUAAUCUAUCAACAAUUAUUCAUUUUUCAUCAUCAACAUUUAAAAACAUCAAGCUAUCAUCAAUGGAAACUCACAAAUUCAUCAACCAAUUCAAAAAUUAGGGCAUGGGCUAGCUAGAGCACAAAGCAACGAUCUCAAAAACAUAGAAAUAUUUAAAAAUGGGACAAAAUAUCUUACCAAUCAAGCAAAAUAAGCAUGACCGAACCCUAGCUAUGGUUUUUCCAUGUUAGAAUCGAUUGAAGUGUUUUUGUGAAGAAGAUGGACAUAUAAUUCUUAAGUUAUUUUAUCAUUAUUAAUUAUUUUACCUUUAUAACCUUAUAAAAUAUUACUAAUUUCAAAAAUGUCAAUCCAACACAUUCCACUAUCACCAUUUAUGGUCUAAUUACCAUAUAAGAACUUAAACUUUAAUGUUGUAUAGCUAUUAGACACUUUUAGCUUAUAGAACACAACUUUUAUGCUUUACGCGAUUUAGUCUUUUUUAUCGAAUUAAGCAUUCAAACAAUAAAAUUUAUUUACGUAACUUUCACACAUAUAUAAUCACAUGCUGUAAAUACCAAAAAUAAUAUUAAAAUAAUUUUUCUCAUCGAGUUUGUGGUCUCGAAACCACUGUUCCGACUAGACCCAAAAUCGGGCUAUUACAAGUCUUUCAUAACCCAUCAAGCUUCGAACUUGCUAUAUCUUACAAUUCAACCAUUUGUCUUACCUUUUCGUAUUAAUUAGAAUAGGAUAAUGAUCGGAUAAAAAAUGCACAAGAUGUUGAAUUGUUACCUCACGAAACAUGGUCAUCCAUUCCUCGUUUGCCACUCCUCUAUCCAAUCGUUCUUGGAUGUUUGUUUUCGGCAAAUUGUCUCUCUCCCAUGUGAACCAAUUACUAAAAUACCCCACAUCCAUCAGGUGACAAUCUUCCAACACAUUUCGAAAAGUUUUCAUUCUUCUUUAAUCUCUAAGCAGCCCUCUCUUUUUCUCAAAGCCAUAUAUAAUUUCAUUAAAAUCUCCGCAUACAAACCAAGGAUACCCUCAUCGUUAUAUAGAUUAGUCAAAAGAGCCCAUGAGUCAUCUCUACCCUAUGCAUAAGGGGUUCCAUAAAAACCUGUGUAUCUUCAUUUAUUCCCUACUUCAGUAUAUUCAAUUAUCACAUCAAUAUGCCUUUUAGAAAAAUUCUAAAGCGUGAUAUUGACAUCAUUUCUCCAUGCCAAACACAACCCUCCUCUAGAACCAUCCGAAUCAACAUCAAUACCAUUAGCAUAACCAUAACUUCGUCGAACUCUUUCCAUCUGACUUCUACAAAACUUUGUCUCUAUAAAGAGGACCAUCUGGGGAUUAUAUAUCUUCAGCGAAUGCCGAAGUCUUCGAACUGUUCGUGGGCUCCCCAAUCCACAAACAUUCCAACUUAAAAUUUUUAUUACGUCCGGUUGGCUUGCCUCUUAGCAGUCGUUGAUGAUAAAUGGUUAAUUUCCAACAUUCUCCUAUUCCUUACUGCCAAAGUGUUGAUCUCUUCUCUGGCUGUUAAGUCUUCAAUCUCCUCCUAGCUCUAUUUUUCCCCUUCUUUCGAUUAAUACACCAUCUUCUAGAUCAUGAUCCAUUACAAUUUGAGCCAAACCUACCAAUGGAUUUUCCCCCCAUUGACAUGAAGAAGACAAACUCCCUUCCAAAUUAAAUCCCAAUACUAGAUCAAUAGCCUUCCUACACCCCGAUUUUUUUUUACGUUCUACAAAUUGUUUCCUUGUACUCGGCUACCCUCACGGUUUCCACCCAAUUCUCCCUCACUUUCCUCACGUAACCAGACACUGUUCAUUACUUGGGCUCUUUGAGAUUGUGCUCGCAACGAUAAAUCCCAACCUAUUUCAUCAAUUUCCACUCUUAACGCCAUUUUUGCUUCACAAAAAAAAUAACUAUGGCCCAAUCGACCACAGUAGAAAUAGAAGAAUGAUAGUCUUUCAUACUUAAAUCUGACAUAUGAUCAUUUUCCACAAAACAUAAUUUGCUUCUUCAUCUUCAAUGGAUGUCGUAUAUCAAUUUGGACUCUUAUUCUCAUAAAGUUUCGAUUUUCUUUCCCCAGAUUCGAACUGUCAUACUCCAUAAAUUCCCCUAUGAAAUUACCCAAUUGCAUUGCCAAGUUUUCAAAGAAAAAACCGAUAGGAACAUCAUGAAUCUGUACCAAAAAAUGUGUCAAAAUUAAAGAACUUUUAAUGGAUCCUUCCCCAUUGCAGCUUGUAUAACACCAACAAGUGGUUGUUAAAAGUCCAUGGUGACCCCUUCAAAACCCUUUCCAUAUCCCAUAACAUGAAAAAAUUGAAACAAAAACCUUUUCUCCCCCAUAUCCCGGAUUUGAACACCCCGAACAGGAUGCCAUAAAUUCACUAUAGUACUUUUCAUUGCUAGGAAGUGAAUAAUGCUAGUUGUUAGGAAACACCCCACUAGCCGAAAAGCCCCCGUCUCCCUUUUCGUAUUCGGCUCUAAUUGUACUUGUAAAACUGCUUAUUCUUCUUCAUUAAGCGUUAAUCCAGCAAAUUCAGUUUCCAUGAAUGCAGGCAGAAAUCCCAAACGUGGGUAUCAGUUUUCUAAAAGAAAAAAGAAGACUUAAGAGACGAUCGCCAUCGAACAAAACAGAAGACUAAAACAAAAAACCUAAAAACAUGCUAGAGAGAGCAGACAGUUGCAUGCUAGGGUAGCAGACUUUUUUUUUUUAUAUAAAAACAAUUAUUUAAGUCCAUGUGUUUAUCAAUAACUUAUCUAAUUUUCUAAUUUUCAUAAAGUAAGAUAAUCAUAUUUUAAAAAAAUAAAGUUAAAAUACUAAUGUUUCAAUUUUUAUAAAGUGGAAAAACAAAAUUAAGAUUUUACGAAUUCUCUUCAUUUGUCAUUAGAUACACUCAAAAACUCAUAGGUAACUUUUUAUUGUUUAAAUGUUAAAUAAAAUAACAAAAAUUACUAGAACACUAAUAAAAAUUCUAUAUAUUAAAAGGGAAAGUUAAGACUUAAGAGCAA